AGCACGGUUGUUGCUCCACAUUCUCUGUUUGAAAAUUUACUUUAUAAGCACAGAUAGAUAACUUCAUAGUCACUAAACUGGGAUUGUUCGAUAAUAUGUGGUUGGCUAAUUUAUAAACAUCUUGAUUAAUAAGUAGUCUCUAGAAAAUUUGGGUAUUAUCGCUAAUUCUAAGUCAAUGACAAUCUAGUAGCAUAACCUCAUUUCACUAACGAUUUCUCCGACUAGCUUAAUCUUCUAAGAAUAUUAUAUUAUUUUUUUUGGCAAACAACUCACUAAUUUAAUAUUUUCAACCAAAUACCGAAUUCUAGCAUAGCAACAGGAAAUUGAAAACCAGAAUCUGCCUUGUGCUGAACAAAAAGAACCUUACUCCAUCCAGCUAGGUCAGAUGCAUCACGACACUCAACUCGGAACUUUGAUAGAUGACUUCCAACUUGUGCAACAGUUUCCUUCUGAAUCUUAGCAAGUGAGGGACUGAUUUCUAUAGAACUGAUAUAUAUUAAAAAUACCAUGCAGUUAAUAUAAUUGCAGCAUGUUUCAUAACAGUUUAUUAUUCUUAAGUUCCAGCCAAAGAUGAUUUUGUAUGAAUACAUGCUAGCUUAAAUUGACAAGAGAGGAAAACUGGCAUACGUACGUGUAGCUCAUGUUCUUGUAGAUU